UAGGGUAAGUCAUUGUUUGGAGCC
rnacentral:piRNA from 1 species